UAUCUUUAUAUAAUGUUUUCUGGAAAAAGCAUAUAACAUUUUACCGUACUGUAAACCGACACAGGUGGAUUAGUUGAAUAUACUAAGGCGUUCAAGAUAAUUAUAUUGAAGGAACUCAGCAAAUUGGCUCUGUAACUUAGGAAGAAGGAGAGAUAAUUUUUACAAUUAUUGACAUAAACGAAAGAGAAGCGACUGUUUAAUAAAAAC
rnacentral:rRNA from 15 species